GAUGAACGCUAGCGGCAGGCUUAAUACAUGCAAGUCGAGGGGCAGCAUGAGUGUAGCAAUACAUUUGAUGGCGACCGGCAAACGGGUGCGGAACACGUACACAACCUUCCUAUAAGUGGGGAAUAGCCCAGAGAAAUUUGGAUUAAUACCCCGUAACAUAAUGAUGUGGCAUCACAUUAUUAUUAUAGCUUCGGCGCUUAUUGAUGGGUGUGCGGCUGAUUAGAUAGUUGGCGGGGUAACGGCCCACCAAGGCUACGAUCAGUAGCUGAUGUGAAAGCAUGAUAAGCCACACGGGCAAUUAGAGAGGGGCCCGAAUCCUGCGGGAGGCAGCAAUAAGGAAUAUUGGUCAAUGGACGCAAGUCUGAACCAGCUAUGCAGCGUGAAGGAUUAAGGUCCUCUGGAUUGUAACCUUCUUUUAUCUGGGACGAAAAAAGGCGAUUCUUCGUCACUUGACGUUACCAGAUGAAUAAGCACCGGCUAACUCCGUGCCAGCAGCCGCCGUAACAC
rnacentral:rRNA from 1 species